GUUCCUGGGGGUGGGGGGAGAGAAAACAACUGUCAUCACCUAAAAGGUUCCCCACACCCCUGAGGUUGAGGGAAGACCCCAGGAUACAGAAACCAAGGGACCACCGGGGCUGGCCGCAGCACAAAGAGUGACACCCUGAGCUCGGGAAAUGGAAUCUGCGAUUAGCAUACCCCGUGAGGAUCCCGCCCCAAUCCCAGCAGUCCUCCAACAUACCAGUCCCAGUGUCGCCCUUCAGAGACCUGAUUCGAGAAUCCAGGACGGCCGUGUCCUGCUUCCAGGGGAGCAAAUGAGGACCAAGGACCGAGCACCGUGCACUUGUGACGGGCUGCUGGCUUUGUUAUGCGAAGAUAACAAGAUCCAAAGCGGGACAUUGGGAGAAAUCCUCUCAGCAGGACGGAGCGCAAAAUGGGGAAAAAAAUACAGAAAGCUCAUUAAAAUUGUUUCCACUGGCAGGUUAAUUGAGGGCUCGGAAAGUUUGGGACAAACUAACAAAGCCGAGGAGAAGUCACAACAAAGACUCUCAAGCCACAUUUACACCUAAACUCACUGCAACUUUUUUGUUCUUGGGGCUUUUACUUCCUGAAACUACAAACAAAUUAACCCAUUUCCUACACAAGUACACAAGGAUCCUCUAAAAGUUACUGAUUCUGGCCAAAACACGCUAUUGAGCCGCAUCUCCAGCUACAGUUCCAAGAAGUUUUAACCCCACCCCAAAGGUUCCUGGACCCACAAAAUGCCAGUUUAAGCUACAUUUCUACCUAGUUCCAGGGAUCUUUAAUAGUUGGAUUUCUGAGAACUAAUUUCUCAUGGUCUUCUUUUGUCCCCAAUAAAUUAAUUCCAGGAACUACAAGUACCAAGAACUAAAAGUAUAAGGUUCCUGGACAUCUUAAAAAUAUUACCCCCCUAAAUGGUCUUCUUUAGGCCCUGAAAAGUUAGUAUCAGGAACUACAAGUAUAAAGAAAUAAACCAUAAAAAUAUAUAGACUCACCUUGUGGCUUGGCAUCACGCAGCAAUUUUCCAUCUGAAAACCCAGAAACAUCAACCGUUUGCAUCUUGAUCUAUGUGUAAUGGUCCUAUACAAAGCUGCUGACGAUUGCCUCUGCUUUCUGUUCACAUUUUCACAUUCACUUUUGAGUAGAUAUAAUUUAUUCAUGUAUAGUUGUCACGCUGGUUUGUUUGCGUCAUACAACUUUGUUGACCAUUGCCGCUUCUGUUCACAUUCACUGUUGUACAUAUGGUAAGUACUUAUUCAUAUGUAGUUGUUGUAUUACUGCUGUCUUUUUCAUUCUCAAAUACCUACUAUUGAUAGAGUGUUUAUUUUGAUGUAUAGUUUUUGCUACAUACAGUACAACACUGCUGACUAUUCUUAUACACUUCUUUAUACAUACAGUAGUAACUCUCACUUUGCGUGCAGAGGUCUCCGGUGCAGUUGUCGGUAGCCAGCGCCACACCAUCACACAGCCGCCCGCCGUGCUUGGGCUGGGGCGCCGUGCACUCGCGGCUCCGUCUCCUCUCACAGUCGCCACCGCACGCCGACCACUCGGUCCACGCGCCCCAGCCGCCAUCCACUGGCCGGAUCACAAGUGCGGCAACAGGCGUGGUUAUGCUAAACCAACGCCGCAUCGGUGUCGACGUCACGUCACGGUCUGCUUACCCGGGCACGGCGCCAUGCAGGCGCUCUUCUGCACCGACGCGCCGUCGCAGAAGGAGCCGCCGUUGAGCGGCGCCGGGUUGGUGCACGUGCGGGAGCGCUUGUGGACGCCGCGGCCGCAGCAGUUCAUUGGGAAGACAACGAUGGUGAUCAACAGCGGCAACUGUCACGUUUCUCCGUGAUUUGCGGCCACCAAAGCGACACGGCAGCUCAUUGGCUUUCAUCAGACGGGACGAACGAGUCGUCAGGCCGUCAUGAACAUUAUGGAAAUGUGUGAUUGAUGGGCCUUUGCAAAUUAAUUCCUCUGGUGGCUCCGCGGACUGUCUCCGUCGACUAAAUCACACAGAAAAGCAAUAAAACACAAAUUACCUAGAAACAAAUCUUAAAAAAAAAAAAAAAAGUAUAGUUGAGUGAGGGCUUUAUUAACUUACCGUACACGGCGACAGCAGCCGUGGCGCUGCGCCGCUUGGCCACGAUGUUGCUAGCGACACAGGUGUAGUUUCCUGAAUCGGAGAGGUGCGCCUGAGAGAUGACCAGAUGGUGAUCGCCUUUGGUGUCGCCACUGCCGGCGCUCAAAAGCUCAUCGUUUUUCAGCCAUUCCACCUGAAAAAUACAGAGUUUCAGCUUUAAUGUGGAGUUAUCAAACUUCUCUGCCAUGCUCUGCCCACAUGCGAACCAAAACUCAAAUCCUUGGGAAUUUAGCAUCUCCUAUCUGUACAGUAUAUGUGCCUUAAAUUUGGUCGCAAUCAGACAAAAAGUUUGUAAACAAGAUAUGGAAUGUUUGAAAUAAUCCUAAAAUGUAUAAUUCAAAUAUCAAUGGGAGCCUUUCUGUGUCUUUUCAGGCAUCGCUUCUUGAGACUUUUUUGCGCGUCUUCUCACGAUAGACGUCUACCAAAUUUCAUGUGCCUCAGCGUAAGGUUUUGAGUUUGUUUAGUUGACUUAUUCCAGUUUCGUGUAUUAUAGCGAUUUAUCUGAUUUCGCCCCCAUGCUGCUCCUACGCGCAGUGACAAAAACGCAAAUUUUGUGUCGCACAUUUGUGUAGUAUACAUGUAUUAUAUCUGGCAGUGAUUGGACAAAAAUCUGUCGGAGUUUGUCUUUCAAGGACCCCUGGAAAUGAGGCUAAAAAGGAAGCUUCUAACCAAAAUGGCAGACUUCCUGUGUCUUUUCAGGGAUGACUUUUUGAGACUGUUUUGUGGGUCUACCAGGGAUAGACGUGUAUUCAAUUUCCUGUUGCUAUGUACAACUGUCUUCAGGGACUGACGCUUCGAGUUCCAGAGAGCACCACCUGGCCAAUAUUUGGACGUUAUACACACAUCCUCAAUCAAAUGUAAAUUUGCCCCACUUUUCGAGUUUAAGAAAGCCCUCAAAUGGCGAUUUCUUUGGCACUUUCUCAGUCCCGUGCUCGAGCCCUGAUGAAGGACGCUUCGUUGACACUGGUCUCCGCGCUUGAGCGCUGCUGUAAAUUGACUUCAACGUCAGGAGCUUUUCAUCCGCGGGGAGCGCUCCAUGAUUCACGCCGCUCUAUUUGAGGAUUAAAAACUCCGUCCCACUGGGAAAGCCGUGUGUUUGUACGCCGACGUGUGUCGGUAUGUGUUUGAGCACGGCGUGUGUGUGUUUGUGUGUUUGGCAUCCAGUCGCUGAGGGAUUAGCACAGCAGCAAACAAACUCUGUGAUUGCUUUGCUCUUUCCAAGCAACCCCGGUUGAAAGCCGGAAAAUAACGGAACAUCGGGAAAUCAAUACAUCAGGAAUCACCUCAUCACGAACGCUGUUUUCAUGUUUUUGCCUGCGCACUCUUUGACGAGUCUUCCAUCAUGCAUUUAGUGCACCCGCCAGUGGGCCGCGUCACUCGCUCCGCUGAGUUCAUCUGCUACGUUUGUCUUCGCUGAUUUUUUUCCUGCCUGGCAGUGUGAUCAAGCUCCGUGCCGCUGAACGUGCUCUACUCGAUUAUUAUUCGACCUGCACAAUUAUGGCCACAGCGGGUUUCUACCUCCUGUUGAAAAGUCUUGGGUUGCUACAAUACAAAGAAGAAAGGAGCACGAGCACAUUAUGUUGAGCGUUGCCACGGAGACGAAGGUCAACAGCUUUUGCUGCAGAGAGAAUGUAACCACGGGAACAGAGCGGCAGUUUGUGUGACGAUAAAAAGGCUCACUUUUUAAACGACAGGUAAUAUCGGCAACUAAUAUUGGCAAUUAUGCUCAGAGGACUCAAGCGCAACCAAGGGACAAAGCGUGUGUCUUUUGAGGGCGGGGGGUCUCAUUACUUUUUUCAUUCAAUAUUCAUCACUGCAGAAUUGUCUGACUUUUCCGGCAAGAACAUUUACAGGUUAGAUCAGCGAGUAGUGUGGCAAUAAAAAAGCUGGCUUUAAACGGAAUUUAAUAUCCGCAAUCGUUCUCAGAGUACUCAAACAUAAUCGUAGGACAAAAAGUUCGUCUUUUUCAGGACGGACGUGCUGUUACCUUUCUCACUUCUAAUAAUUUUCAGUUUGGAAAUGUCAGAUUUUUCCGCAAGAGCAUCGACUCAAACUGCAAUUGUGUCAUCAUAUACGCUGCUCACAGCCACAAUGUUAGCAUGUGCUAAUAUUUAUGAGAAAGUGCUCAUGUGAAAUGUAUUGUUUGCCUGUGACAACGUGUUAGCGAGUGUUCUAUGUACUAAUAUGUCUUCGCAUGAGCUAAUGUGUGUCAGCAUAUACUAGAAUGUCUUAUAUGUCUUUAUUUGCCUGUGCCAGCAUGUGCUAAUAUUUAGUAAUUUGCAUGCACAAGAGUGUGUUAGCAUGUGAUAGCAUGUGCUAAUAUGUGUUAACAUGUGCUAUUAAUUAUGACAAGGUGCUACCAUAUAUUAAUGUGUCUCUGCCAGCAUGUGAUAUGUGCUAGAGAGUGUUAUCAUGUGGAAGCCUGUGAGAAUGUGUGAUAAUGUGUUAACUGUAUUAAUUUGCCUUUGCCAGCAUGCGUUAAAAUGUGUUAGUGAGUGUUAAUAUAUGCUAAAAUGUGUUAGCAAUGUGCUAAUUAAUAUCAGAUUUUUCUAACGUGUUAGUAUGUCCCGGCAUUUGCAUGUGGUAGCAUGUGUUACAUGUGCUAAUAUGUAUUAGCAUGUGAUAAUGUGUGCCAGUAUGCUAGGUCUUAGUACAUAUUAAUUUGCUUGUGCCAGAAUGUGAUAGCAUGUGCUAACAUGUGUUAGCAUGUGCUAAUGCGUAUUAAUUUGAGGUGAGGAUAAGCAGUUCAGAGAAUAACUGGAUCAAUGGAUGGAUGUGUGUGAGCAUAGCCUAGUAGCAAGUAGUAGCGUGGCAGCGUGUUAGCGCUGCACUGAUGCAUUGUUGUCAUCAGCGUGUUGGUUCAUCGAUGCGUGUGACAAAGAGGAGAGUGCUAGUAAAUAAUCUAUAAAGUCAAGUAAAUCCCAGCAGCAGCAGUAGCAGGAAAAGGCUUGUGUGCACAUUUGGGAAGCUUCUCUUCUCUUUUUCAUGACGUGAGGUUGGAAAGGUUACGCCCGCUCCCCCACCCUCCUUGACCACAGCUUUUAGCAUUUGACGUCACACCGCCACUAGAGAGCUAGAUGUAAGAAUUGGCUUCAUGCUUAGGAUCCACAGACAAGGAUUUUAAUUAUAUUUUCACUAUACAGGGCAAGCUGUUAGCAUAAGCAUCACAUUUAGAUUUCCGAAGACCAUAUUGAUGUCUAUAUUUUUACCAUACAGGGGUAGAUGUUAGCAUGAGCAUCAUAUUUGUGGCCCAAUGACAAGUUUUUGAUUACUUUUUUUUUUUUUUUU